GUUGUCGUUGUCGAGUGGUUAAGGCGAUAGACUUGAAAUCUUUUGGGAUCUUCCCGCGCAGGUUUGAAUCCUGUCGACAAUG
rnacentral:tRNA from 1 species